GGCUCGUUGGUCUAGGGGUAUGAUUCUCGCUUCGGGUGCGAGAGGUCCCGGGUUCAAAUCCCGGACCAACGAGCCA